CUUCUUCUUCUUGUCCCAUUCAUUACUCCAUCUUCGCAAUCUUCCAUUCGAAACCUCCUCGAAGCUCGCGGUUUACCAGGUGGUUUGUUUCCAGACAACGUGGAGAGUUAUAGUCUAGAUGAUAAGACAGGAGAGCUCGAAGUUCAGCUACAAAAUCCUUGUUUCGCUCGGUUCGAAAACAGAGUAUAUUUUGAUCGUGUGAUUAAAGCAAAUUUAAGCUAUGGUGGGCUUGUUGGACUUGAAGGUUUAACACAAGAAGAGCUUUUUCUUUGGUUACCUGUUAAAGGCAUUGCAGUGAAUGAUCCUUCUUCUGGACUUGUUCUCUUCGAUAUCGGUGUUGCUCAUAAACAAAUCUCUCGUUCUCUCUUUGAAGAUCCUCCUGUUUGUUAUCCUCCUGGUGAGUCAAAGUUUGUUCCUCAAAACGUUUUAGUGUUUAAUGCCAAGUGUUUUAUUUAUUGGUAACAUAUAUAUGAUCUUGAACAGAAUAUUUUUGUAGUAAUAAUUGUAUGUUUUUAUUUGUAGGAUCUAUAAUGGAGAAGUUAGAAAAAAGCAAGAUGGAUAUUCAGCUCAAGAGAUGAAUGAGUUUUUUUUUUUUUGGGGUUGUGUAAGAUUCAAAACUCAAACUUGUCUCUUUGAAACUUGAACAAAAAAUGUGUUUUUUUCUUUCUUCUUUUACCUUUUUGUUCGGGGUUGUUUGGGAAACCGUGGAAAGUGUCGGGAGAUAUGUGUAAAAUCUGGAAAGAAGGGAGGAAAAUUUUGGAACUUUGUAUAAAUUAUGG
rnacentral:lncRNA from 1 species